rnacentral:rRNA from 1 species
AACGAACGCUGGCGGCAUGCCUAACACAUGCAAGUCGAACGAAACCUUCGGCCUUAGUGGCGCACGGGUGCGUAACGCGUGGGAAUCUGCCCUUUGGUUCGGAAUAACAGCUGGAAACGGCUGCUAAUACCGGAUGAUGUCUAAAGUCCAAAGAUUUAUCGCCAUAGGAUGAGCCCGCGUUGGAUUAGGUAGUUGGUGGGGUAAAGGCCUACCAAGCCGACGAUCCAUAGCUGGUCUGAGAGGAUGAUCAGCCACACUGGGACUGAGACACGGCCCAGACUCCUACGGGAGGCAGCAGUGGGGAAUAUUGGACAAUGGGCGAAAGCCUGAUCCAGCAAUGCCGCGUGAGUGAUGAAGGCCUUAGGGUUGUAAAGCUCUUUUACCCGGGAAGAUAAUGACUGUACCGGGAGAAUAAGCCCCGGCUAACUCCGUG